GGAUCAUAUCAGAAAGAUAUGUUUGAUGAAAUUAACUACAGAAUCAAGAAGUAUAUACUCAAAAUGCAAAUAUUACAAUAUAUGACAGCGCUGGAGUGCAAUGGCGCGAUCUUGGCUCACUGCAACCUCCGCCUCCUGGGUUCAAAUGAUUCUCCUGCCUCAGCCUCCCAAGUAGCUGGGACUACAGACCACAACCAAUUGCUCUUCCUUCCCGUUGAAAGAAACCCAGGCUGUACCUGCUCUUUCAUCUCCUGUGUGGAAAACAUCUAUCAGCUGGAAGCCCUGAGUCUUCAUGUUCAAGGAUUUUAGUUGUAAGCUGUUCAAGGCAUAAGCUAAAGUUUCAGGCAGAGGUAGUUUUAGUAGUUAAGCCUGAUUUUUACUUCCACCCUCUGUCCUCCAGGGCUAUAUGGGAAGCUUUCUGUGAGUGGAUAAGCUCUUUAGCUAAGAUGUAAACAUGUUCCCUGGUAUCUGAUAAAGGUUCCUGGAGACUGACACAUUUUUUUUUUUUUUUAAAAAGAAAGUAAGUGAGGAAAAAAAGAAAAGGAGAAACUGAAUCCAAGGCUUACAAAGGGAUUAGAAAACUGUACCCCAGAUGGAAAAUUUUAUGGGCUCUGGAGAAAAUGUAUAAAUGAAAUAUCGGUAUCAUAAAAUAACAGGAAAUAGUGUAAUCUACCUGAUGGAGAAAAUUGUCACUUUAAAAAAAGUAUCCUAAUUUCCUUCAAAAUUGUUCUUGUUUUUGAGCCAAUAAACUGCAGCUAAGCUCA
rnacentral:lncRNA from 1 species